rnacentral:rRNA from 1 species
ACUCAAAGGAAUUGACGGGGGCCCGCACAAGCAGUGGAGCAUGUGGUUUAAUUCGAAGCAACGCGAAGAACCUUACCAAGACUUGACAUCCCGCUGACCUCUCUAGAGAUAGAGACUCCCUUCGGGGCAGCGGUGACAGGUGGUGCAUGGUUGUCGUCAGCUCGUGUCGUGAGAUGUUGGGUUAAGUCCCGCAACGAGCGCAACCCCUAUGUUGUGUUGCCAUCAUUUAGUUGGGCACUUACAACAGACUGCCGGUGACAAACCGGAGGAAGGCGGGGAUGACGUCAAAUCAUCAUGCCCCUUAUGUCUUGGGCUACACACGUGCUACAAUGGGCGGUACAAAGAGAUGCAAGACCGCGAGGUGGAGCUAAUCUCAUAAAGCCGUUCGUAGUUCGGAUUGCAGGCUGCAACUCGCCUGCAUGAAGCCGGAAUUGCUAGUAAUCGCGGAUCAGCAUGCCGCGGUGAAUUCGUUCCCGGGCCUUGCACACACCGCCCGU